AAUAGUCCUGUAUGUUAAACGAGAAGACUUUAGAUAUGAUCCAGAGUACCACGGGACACGUGAAACCCUGUGGGAAGCAGGAGGGACCACCCUCCAAGGCUAAAUACUACCUAGUGACCGAUAGCGUAUAGUACCGUGAGGGAAAGGUGAAAAGAACCCCGGGAGGGGAGUGAAAUAGAACCUGAAACCCUGCACUUACAAGCUGUGGAAGCACAUUUCUUGUGUGACCGCGUACUUUUUGUAGAACGGGCCAACGAGUUACGUUAAGUAGCAAGGUUAAGCACUUAAGGUGCGGAGCCGUAGCGAAAGCGAGUUUUAACUGAGCGUUCAGUUACUUGACGUAGACCCGAAACCGGGCGACCUACCCAUGAGCAGGAUGAAGCGAAAGUAAAAUUUCGUGGAGGUCCGAACCCACGAGCGUUGAAAAGCUCGGGGAUGACUUGUGGGUAGCGGUGAAAUUCCAAUCGAGCCCGGAGAUAGCUGGUUCUCCCCGAAAUAGCUUUAGGGCUAGCCUCAAGGUGAGAGAUACGGAGGUAGAGCACUGAAUGUCCUAGGGGGUAUUGCACCUACCGAAGACUAUCAAACUCCGAAUGCCGUCAUCUUAUACUUGGGAGUCAGACUGUGGGUGAUAAGAUUCAUAGUCGAAAGGGCAACAGCCCAGAUCGUCAGCUAAGGUCCCUAAAUGUAAGUUAAGUGGUAAAGGAUGUGGGAUUGCACAGACAACCAGGAUGUUGGCUUAGAAGCAGCCACUCAUUCAAAGAGUGCGUAAUAGCUCACUGGUCGAGUGAUCCUGCGCCGAAGAUUUCCGGGGCUAAAACUUACUACCGAAGCUACGGCAUCAGUA
rnacentral:rRNA from 1 species